rnacentral:rRNA from 1 species
CAGCUUAACUGUAGAACUGCCGUUGAUACUGCUAGUCUUGAGUAUAGUUGAGGUAGCUGGAAUGAGUAGUGUAGCGGUGAAAUGCAUAGAUAUUACUCAGAACACCGAUUGCGAAGGCAGGUUACCAAGUUAUAACUGACGCUGAGGGACGAAAGCGUGGGGAGCGAACAGGAUUAGAUACCCUGGUAGUCCACGCCGUAAACGAUGCUAACUCGUUUUUGGGCUUUAGGGUUCAGAGACUAAGCGAAAGUGAUAAGUUAGCCACCUGGGGAGUACGACCGCAAGGUUGAAACUCAAAGGAAUUGACGGGGGCCCGCACAAGCGGUGGAUCAUGUGGUUUAAUUCGAUGAUACGCGAGGAACCUUACCAAGGCUUAAAUGGGAAUUGACAGCUGUAGAAAUACGGUUUUCUUCGGACAAUUUUCAAGGUGCUGCAUGGUUGUCGUCAGCUCGUGCCGUGAGGUGUUAGGUUAAGUCCUGCAACGAGCGCAACCCCUGUCACUAGUUGCCAUCAUUAAGUUGGGGACUCUAGUGAGACUGCCUACGCAAGUAGCGAGGAAGGUGGGGAUGACGUCAAAUCAUCACGGCCCUUACGCCUUGGGCCACACACGUGAUACAAUGGCCGGUACAGAGGGCAGCUACACUGCGAAGUGAUGCAAAUCUCGA